UACGUAGGGGGCAAGCGUUGUCCGGAAUUACUGGGCGUAAAGCGCACGUAGGCGGCUUUGUAAGUUAGAGGUGAAAGCCUGGAGCUCAACUCCAGAAUUGCCUUUAAGACUGCAUCGCUUGAAUCCAGGAGAGGUGAGUGGAAUUCCGAGUGUAGAGGUGAAAUUCGUAGAUAUUCGGAAGAACACCAGUGGCGAAGGCGGCUCACUGGACUGAUAUUGACGCUGAGGUGCGAAAGCGUGGGGAGCAAACAGG
rnacentral:rRNA from 1 species